rnacentral:rRNA from 1 species
UGGGGAAUAUUGGGCAAUGGGCGAAAGCCUGACCCAGCAACGCCGCGUGAGGGAAGAAGGUUUUCGGAUUGUAAACCUCUGUCCUUGGGGACGAAAAAAAUGACGGUACCCAAGGAGGAAGCCCCGGCUAACUACGUGCCAGCAGCCGCGGUAAUACGUAGGGGGCGGGCGUUGUCCGGAAUUACUGGGCGUAAAGGGUGCGUAGGCGGUUUUUUAAGUCAGAUGUGAAAUCCCCGGGCUUAACUCGGGUGGUGCAUUUGAAACUGGGAGGCUAGAGUGCAGGAUAGGGAAGCGGAAUUCCUAGUGUAGCGGUGAAAUGCGUAGAUAUUAGGAGUAACACCAGUGGCGAAGGCUGCUUUCUGGACUGUAACUGACGCUGAGGCACGAAAGCGUGGGGAGCAAACAG